ACAGCUAUCCAAGACAUGAAGUCAGGUCAGCAAACCCGCUGAAUUUAAGCAUAUAAGUAAGCGGAGGAUAAGAAACUAAAUAGGAUUCCCUCAGUAAUGGCGAAUGAACAGGGAUCAGCUCAGGAUGGGAAUCGGGGCCCUGCGGCCUUGAAUUGUAAUCUGGAGAUGUACUACCAACCGGGGCGAAGAUGUAAGCCUGUUGGAAAACAGCAUCAAUGAGGGUGAGAAUCCCGCAUGUCAUCUUCAGUCCCCAGUGCACGGUGUACCUUCUAAGAGUCACGUUCCUCUGGAUUGGAGCGCAAAUUGGGUGGUAAAUUUCAUCUAAAGCUAAAUAUUGUUUCGAGACCGAUAGCAAACAAAUACCAUGAGGGAAAAGUGAAAAGGACUUUGAGAAGAGAGUUAAAAGUGCCUGAAAUUGCUGGAAGGGAAGCGAAUGGAACCAGUGCAGCUUGGCGAGAUUGUCACGUGUUAAUGUGAUUGCUUGCUGCUUCAAAUCAAAUGUCGCAGUAGGUUUUGAUCAUGACAUUCGUGGUGCUUCUUGCCUUGUGUGUCAACACCAAUUCACGGCUGAGGAAAACUCCAAGGACAUGGUAGCUUGUCUCCGGGUGGGUGAAUGUGCUUGCGGGAACUCAUCUGUGGUUUUGUGUUUGACUAAAUGGUUUCAUCCGACCCGUCUUGAAACACGGACCAAGGAGUCUAACAUAUGUGCAAGUUCACGGGUGGUAAACCUGCUUGCGAAAUGAAAGUGACUGCUGGGAUAUUUGCACCAGCAACCGACCAAUCAAUUGAGAGAGGUUUGAGUAUGAGCAUAUCUGUUAGGACCCGAAAGAUGGUGAACUAUGCCUGUGAAGGGCAAACUCAGGGGAAACUCUGAUGGAGGCUCGUAGCGAUACUGACGUGCAAAUCGUUCGU
rnacentral:rRNA from 1 species